GCUAGAAGAUGACGAGUGGCGGACGGGUGAGUAAUGCUUGGGAACUUGCCUUUGCGAGGGGGAUAACAGUUGGAAACGACUGCUAAUACCGCAUAAUGUCUUCGGACCAAACGGGGCUUCGGCUCCGGCGCAAAGAGAGGCCCAAGUGAGAUUAGCUAGUUGGUAAGGUAACGGCUUACCAAGGCGACGAUCUCUAGCUGUUCUGAGAGGAAGAUCAGCCACACUGGGACUGAGACACGGCCCAGACUCCUACGGGAGGCAGCAGUGGGGAAUAUUGCACAAUGGGGGAAACCCUGAUGCAGCCAUGCCGCGUGUGUGAAGAAGGCCUUCGGGUUGUAAAGCACUUUCAGUUGUGAGGAAAAGUUAGUAGUUAAUACCUGCUAACCGUGACGUUAACAACAGAAGAAGCACCGGCUAACUCCGUGCCAGCAGCCGCGGUAAUACGGAGGGUGCGAGCGUUAAUCGGAAUUACUGGGCGUAAAGCGCACGCAGGCGGUUUGUUAAGCUAGAUGUGAAAGCCCCGGGCUCAACCUGGGAUGGUCAUUUAGAACUGGCAGACUAGAGUCUUGGAGAGGGGAGUGGAAUUCCAGGUGUAGCGGUGAAAUGCGUAGAUAUCUGGAGGAACAUCAGUGGCGAAGGCGACUCCCUGGCCAAAGACUGACGCUCAUGUGCGAAAGUGUGGGUAGCGAACAGGAUUAGAUACCCUGGUAGUCCACACCGUAAACGCUGUCUACUAGCUGUGUGUGUCUUUAAGGCGUGCGUAGCGAAGCUAACGCGCUAAGUAGACCGCCUGGGGAGUACGGCCGCAAGGUUAAAACUCAAAUGAAUUGACGGGGGCCCGCACAAGCGGU
rnacentral:rRNA from 2 species